AGAAGAUACCCUGAAAGACCAGACCUACUGGAAACUCACUUAAGAAUAAAAGUAGGAAUAGCUAAUUCUUUAUGUUUCACUUCAGUUUGUGCCUUCGGCGCUCCCAAUAAACCAGGGAUAAUUAUCAAUGACUCUACUCCAAGGAAGGUUCUUAGCGUAAGUGAAGUGUGUAAGAGCUCCAGGAAUGUCAAACUUCAUUCUUUUGAGGCCAAGGCUGCAGAUAAAAAUCAAAGUACUCAAUUGAAGAGCAUCGUCUGCCCCGAUUGUGAAGCAAACGGUUCAAAACCGUGUCCUCAAUGCAAAGGUACCGGAGUUAAUUCUGUUGAUCACUUCAACGGACGAUUUAAAGCCGGUGGACUGUGUUGGCUUUGCAGGGGGAAAAAGGAGGUUUUAUGCGGGAACUGCAAUGGAGCCGGCUUUCUUGGUGGAUUCAUGAGCGGCUAAACGUCAAGACAUCAAUGCUUUAAGGUUGUCUUCAACCAUGUU